UAGGGAAUCUUCGGCAAUGGACGAAAGUCUGACCGAGCAACGCCGCGUGAGUGAAGAAGGUUUUCGGAUCGUAAAACUCUGUUGUUAGAGAAGAACAAGGACGUUAGUAACUGAACGUCCCCUGACGGUAUCUAACCAGAAAGCCACGGCUAACUACGUUCCAGCAGCCGCGGUAAUACGUAGGUGGCAAGCGUUGUCCGGAUUUACUGGGCGUAAAGCGAGCGCAGGCGGUUUCUUAAGUCUGAUGUGAAAGCCCCCGGCUCAACCGGGGAGGGUCAUUGGAACCUGGGAGACUUGAGUGCAGAAGAGUCGAGUGGAAUUCCAUAUGUAGCGGUGAAAUGCGUAGAUAUAUGGAGGAACACCAGUGGCGAAGGCGGCUCUCUUGUCUGUAACUGACGCUGAGGCUAGAAAGCGUGGGGAGCAAACAGG
rnacentral:rRNA from 1 species